rnacentral:tRNA from 1 species
CGACCGUCUGUCCCGGGUCGGUGUAGGUGGUGCCGUUCACGGCGGUGCUGCCCGAGCAGUUGGCGUUCGAGGCGUCAGCCGCCGU